ensembl:snoRNA
CGUCUCCUGUGAUGUUCUGCACUGGGCUCUGAAUUUCUGUGGCGAUAAAAGUGCUCUCUGGCUCUGACAGGCCCGAGUCUGAGGAUAAU